rnacentral:misc_RNA from 1 species
UCGCAGCUUGCGCCGGCAGUCUCGACAGAGUCCUCGGCAUAACCCGUUAGCAACUGUCGAUGGGGGUUGCGCUCGUUAUGGCACUUAAGCCGACACCUCACGGCACGAGCUGACGACAACCAUGCAGCACCUCGCCAAAGACCCCGGAGGGAGGCCGACUUUCACCGGCUGUCCUUUGGCGUUUGAGCCCGGGUAAGGUUCCUCGCGUAUCAUCGAAUUAAACCACAUGUUCCUCCGCUUGUGCGGGCCCCCGUCAAUUCCUUUGAGUUUCACCGUUGCCGGCGUACUCCCCAGGUGGAAUGCUUAACGCUUUCGCUGUGCCACCCAGAACCGAAGUCCCGGACAGCUAGCAUUCAUCGUUUACUGCGUGGACUAC